rnacentral:lncRNA from 1 species
AAUAGUAAUGUCAGCUCGUUUCCCAGUCGAUCUAGCUAUCUCAGGCUUUUUAUCCAAACCCAACACCUGCUCUACCAUCUUAGCUCUUUCAAUCAAAUCCACAAAUUCUGUAAUUCGCUGUGACACCAGCUGUACUUUGAUUUCAUCUCUCAAUCCUCGUAGAAAUCUCUUGCAGCUAUCAGCUUCUGUUGGAAUGAACUCGGUAGCAUAUCGGCUC